rnacentral:tRNA from 1 species
UCAGAUAUGGCCGAGUGGUUAAGGCGACUGACUCGAAAUCAGUUUCCAUCUUGGAGCGUAGGUUCGAAUCCUACUAUCUGCG